rnacentral:rRNA from 1 species
CCUACGGGAGGCAGCAGUGGGGGAUAUUGCACAAUGGGGGGAACCCUGAUGCAGCGACGCCGCGUGGGUGAAGAAGCGCCUCGGCGCGUAAAGCCCUGUCAGCAGGGAAGAAAAUGACGGUAACUGAAGAAGAAGCCCCGGCUAACUACGUGCCAGCAGCCGCGGGAAUACGUAGGGGGCAGGCGGUAUCCGGAUUUACUGGGUGUAAAGGGGGCGCAGACGGCGGUGCAAGCCAGGAGUGAAAGCCCGGGGCCCAACCCCGGGACUGCUCUUGGAACUGCGUGGCUGGAGUGCAGGAGGGGCAGGCGGAAUUCCUGGUGUAGCGGUGAAAUGCGUAGAUAUCAGGAGGAACACAGGUGGCGAAGGCGGCCUGCUGGACUGCAACUGACGUUGAGGCCCGAAAGCGUGGGGAGCAAACAGGAUUAGAUACCCGGGUAGUC